CAGGAGAAUGAUGAGCUAUGCUAGCGAGGUAAAUGGAAAGUACUAAAUUAUUGCUUGCCAGUGUUGGGCUAGCUGGGCUGAAGGUGGACAAGAAAAAUGGUGUCUACUGGCACUUCUGUUCCUGAAGAAAGUGCCCAGUCUCUCCAGUACACACCCUAAAAUUUGUCAAUAAAUCUUAUGUCUGGCUCAGGUGAUUUUCAAACUGCUGCCUCUUUGCUGGUUCUUGGAUCAAGUGAUACUGUCUGUAGGUCCUUAAACAGCAGAGUCUAGAUUUCCUAUGGGCCUCGGGUCUUCUGGAGUUAAACCCUACUGAUUUCAAAAGCAGACAUCAUAGGGACCCAUAUUCCUGAUGCAGAUCCCCAAGAAGGGGGUGUUCCUGAUGUGGAGUUGAUCCCCUUUCUCCACAGAGAAGACCUCUACACCUGUGAUAUCCCUCCUGCUGUGGGUCACUAUUGGAUACUUCUCAAACUACUGUUUUUCCACUGGGUCUAAAUGAUCCCAGGGCCUGGAGUGCCUGAUGUGGAGCACCAAUCCCUUGCUCUUCUGUAACAAAUGCCUAGCUGGUGAGAACCCUCCCUAUUGGGUGCUGCCAUACUGGGUGGGGGGGGGGGGGGUCGUGAGACUGUGUCUCUGCCUUUUUUACCUAUCUUUACCCUUUGUUGUGGACAGCAGUUCAUCUCAUUUUUAGAUCUUUUUUGGGAGGCAAUAAUCCAUAUGUUCCUGUAGAGUUGGUAUGUUUGAGGGAGGAGGUGAGUUCAGGAUCUUCUUAUGCUGCCAUAUUGGACCUAAUCAACUGGAUCCAUAAAUUUUUUUGUCUGCCCUUCCAUAUCUCUUUUCCUUUACUCUAAACUUGUUCUGUGUGGAGGGAUGCUGACCUGUCUGGACUACAUCAAUGAGCCCACUUGCUUUCUGGCUUCUGGUUGGCUUUCGUUAACUGGAGAGCAGAAGAGUUGAGUCAGAGUAUUUUAACCACCCCCCCCACCCCAGCUUUCUCCUUGCUAUGGCUAAAGGCUGGCUCUGCCGGUCUCCUAUUGGGGUCCUCUCUGAAAGUUAUAGUUCUGUAUGGAUUCCUGUAACAAUUUCCUCUCCUUGGGGACCAAGGAGUAACAGAAAUCUCCUCCUGUGACUAGCCCGGGGGUACUAUGAUUAUCUCCUUAUUGACUUUUCUAAACACUGACUAAACAUUUGUACAUAGUCCUUUUAUUAAACUGCCCUUCAUUACCUA